ensembl:lncRNA
UAUGGUUGCACACCACUGUCAUUGUGAGCAUCGGACUGCUGAGUAUUCUCCUCAUCUCCCUGCGCUUCAACUCACCGUCACCUUGGAGGGAGUCAAGAGAGCACUUACUGGAUGAACUCGAUGAAUUUACACUUCAGGGCUGGAUGUUUCACAACAAGAGUUUCUACCUUAUUUCUACUACUAAGAAGAACUGGACGGCCAGUAGAGAAGACUGCCUGCAGAGAAACGCAGACCUGGUGGUCAUCAACAGCAGAGAAGAACAUGUGGGUUUGUCAGCAGAUUGAUGGGUCCUUCCUGGCUUGGACUGAGUGGUCGAGAGACAGAGGGGACCCUCAAGUGGGUGGAUGCUACCCCCAUGACCUCAAUUUGGAGACACGUUAAACCACGCGAUGACGGCGGAGCAGAAGCAUGUGUCGUAGCAGGGGAGGACGGCUGGUCCGAAGAACCGUGUGACAGACUGCACCACUGGAUCUGUGAGAAGGUCGUAGACCUGGAUCAUUUGGAGGCUGGGCAGAACAAAGACGGUUCGGUGAUGCCCACGGAGGAGGAGGAGGCCCCCAGCAUCACAGAGUUCCACUCCUCUACCCACGUGUUGCCCGUGGGCCAAGCGGCCCGCUAUACCUGCCACGCCGGCGGCACGCCGGAGCCCACAGUAGAGUGGCUCCACAACGGCAGGCCCCUGGAGAGGGACGGCACAGACAACCAAUCAGAGGCCUGGGUGGAGAGGGGCUUCCUCUUCGUCAGAGGUGGGAGGUACGGCGUGAACA